AACGAACGCUGGCGGCAUGCCUAACACAUGCAAGUCGAACGAGACCUUCGGGUCUAGUGGCGCACGGGUGCGUAACGCGUGGGAACCUGCCCUUAGGUUCGGAAUAACUCCCCGAAAGGGGUGCUAAUACCGGAUAAUGUCUUCGGACCAAAGAUUUAUCGGCUUUGGAUGGGCCCGCGUUGGAUUAGCUAGUUGGUAGGGUAAAAGCCUACCAAGGCGACGAUCCAUAGCUGGUCUGAGAGGAUGAUCAGCCACACUGGGACUGAGACACGGCCCAGACUCCUACGGGGAGCAGCAGUGGGGAAUAUUGGACAAUGGGCGAAAGCCUGAUCCAGCAAUGCCGCGUGAGUGAUGAAGGCCUUAGGGUUGUAAAGCUCUUUUACCCGGGAUGAUAAUGACAGUACCGGGAGAAUAAGCUCCGGCUAACUCCGUG
rnacentral:rRNA from 1 species